rnacentral:lncRNA from 1 species
UUAAAAUAUGUAAGUAAACAUUGAAAUUAAAUGAAUGCAAAUUCCUCUCUUCCACUCUAAAAAAUAAACAUAUAAUAAAAGUAAUUCCACCGCGCUCGAAUGGGGGAGAAUUAAAAAAGUUAUAGAAUCCAAAUUUUCUGGCCUACGUCUGUUUUUUUUUUUUUUUUUUUUGGUUUUAAAUAAUGAAAUUUUCUUUUUUUUUUUCCUUUUUUUUUAAUUCAUAUUUUUCAGAUUCUAAGUGGUUGGUGAGUGGUGACCAUUGUGUAUUGUGAUUUGUGUUUAUGGAUCAUGCGGUUGGCUUUUUCCAUCAAAGCCUUCGUCGUCAAAGCUGGUCUAUUUAAUAGACAAAGUGGAUCCUUUGGUCGGCCAAAUUGCGCCGUUUACUCAUUAUGUGUAAUGGGGUUAAAUUCUAAUGGCAUUUGUACUUUAACCGUGCCCUCGAACGUAAAUUCCAACAUUUUAAAAAAAAAAACCAAUUUAUUUAUUUAUUAUUAUUAUUUUCAUAUCUCUUGUCUAGUUGUUCAGAUGGAUGGUUGAGAUUAGGUGGAGCUUCAAUUUUCAACCAGAGUUAUUGUGGAUUUAUUAUGAAACUUGUACUCCAAUGUGUGAUGUUAAAGAAUAUUAAGACUAGUAAAAAUUUAAUUUGAGAAAAGCGAUUAUAAAAUUAAAAUAAGUCGCCAUUAAUCAAUAGGAAAGCACCCACAAGACCUAAAUAGGAGGGGGAAAAAAAUGAUUAAUCUUAAUAUAAACUAUUAAACGAUGGCUUCAGUGAGAAGCUAGUAUGUGAUGUGGGCUUACACCUUUCAGUAAAGUGAUUGGUGGUAAUCGUUUGGUGGAAUGGUUAUGGGCCCCAUCAACAUCAAUUAGUUUGUAUGUUUGCUUUAAGGCUAUUUAGUUACUAACUCGUAUUAUGAUUUUAUAAAUUACAUUCCGCAUUUUUCAUUAAUUGAAAUCGGUUGCUUGCCUUAUAGAGAAAUGCUAAUAAAAUUGAAUUAUAUCAAAAUAAACCAACCUUUCAAGCAAAAAAAAUCAAAUGAUUAUCUAUCCAUAUCCAAAUGAUUGGUCAUACAGUUUACGAGCUGUUUUCUUUAAUUGAUCAUUUGAGUCUAAAGUUUAAGAUAAAUAAAUGGUGGUGGAGUCAUUAACAAACAAGGAAAGGUGUCUAAAAAUUCAUAAGACAUUCUCUAUCUACAUACUUGAAAUCACAAAUUUCCCCCCUUGAACUGAUUAAAUACAGUAAAUUUAAGUAAAAAGUUAUUUUAAAAUUACACAAAUUUCGUCUAUUUAUAAUUUAUUAGUCCAAUUGCAUAAUUUAAAUAUCAAACCCUAGCUGUAUGCAUUAAAUAUAAGGCCGUAGAUCUAAUUCGAUAUUUGAUAUGAUUUAACAAAAAAAAAUCCAAUUUAAUGUUAAGAGUAAUGUUAGAGAUCUUGGC